GUGAGGAAUAUUGCGCAAUGGAGGCAACUCUGACGCAGCCAUGCCGCGUGCAGGAAGAAGGCGCUACGCGUUGUAAACUGCUUUUAACCGGGAAGAAACCCCAGGACGUGUCCUGGGUUGACGGUACCGGAUGAAUAAGCACCGGCUAACUUCGUGCCAGCAGCCGCGGUAAUACGAAGGGUGCAAGCGUUAUCCGGAUUCAUUGGGUUUAAAGGGUGCGUAGGCGGAGCGUUAAGUCAGUGGUGAAAUCUUGCAGCAUAACUGUAGACUUGCGAUUGAUACUGGCGAGCUUGAGUGCGCUUGAAGUGGGCGGAAUGUGCCAUGUAGCGGUGAAAUGCUUAGAUAUGGCAGAGAACACCAAUUGCGAAGGCAGCUCACUAAGGCGAUACUGACGCUGAGGCACGAAAGCGUGGGGAUCGAACAGGAUUAGAAACCCGAGUAGUCC
rnacentral:rRNA from 1 species